rnacentral:rRNA from 1 species
GACAGAGGUGCCGAGCGUUAGGCGGAAUCACUGGGCUUAAAGCGUGUGUAGGCGGAUCGUUAAGUGCCUUGUGAAAUCCCACGGCUUAACCGUGGAACUGCUUGGCAUACUGGCGGUCUUGAGCACCUAGGGGCAAGCGGAACAAAUGGUGGAGCGGUGAAAUGCGUAGAUAUCAUUUGGAACGCCAAUGGUGAAAACAGCUUGCUGGG